rnacentral:rRNA from 1 species
UGGUCUGUACUGACACUGAGGCGCGAAGCGUGGGGAAGCAACAGGAUUAGAUACCCUGGUAGUCCACGCCGUAAACGAUGAGUGCUAAGUGUUAGAGGGUUUUCGCCCUUUAGUGCUGAAGUUAACGCAUUAAGCACUCCGCCUGGGGAGUACGGCCGCAAGGCUGAAACUCAAAGGAAUUGACGGGGGCCCGCACAAGCGGUGGAGCAUGUGGUUUAAUUCGAAGCAACGCGAAAAACCUUACCAGGUCUUGACAUCCUCUGAAAACCCUAGAGAUAGGGCUUCUCCUUCGGGAGCAGAGUGACAGGUGGUGCAUGGUUGUCGUCAGCUCGUGUCGUGAGAUGUUGGGUUAAGUCCCGCAACGAGCGCAACCCUUGAUCUUAGUUGCCAUCAAUAAGUAGUGCACUCUAAGGUGACUGCCCGUGACAAACCGGAGGAAGGUGGGGAUGACGUCAAAUCAUCAUGCCCCUUAUGACCUGGGCUACACACGUGCUACAAUGCACAGUACAAAGAGCUGCAACACGGCGAAGUGGAUCUCAUAUCAUAAAACCGAUUCUCAGUUCGGACUGUAGGCUGCGACUCUCCUAACAUGAGGCUCGGAAUCUCUAGUAAUCGCAGCAUCAGCAUGCCGCGGAUGAAAUACGUUCCCCGGGUCUUGAUACACCACCGCCCGUCACACCACUGAGGAGUUUGUAACACCCGAAGUUCGGUGGGGUAACCCUUUUUCGGAGCCAGUCCGCCU